CGGGGAGCACCACAACAGGUGGAGCCUGCGGUUUAAUCGGACUCAACGCCGGGAAACUCACCAGAUAAGACAGCUGAAUGAUAGUCGGGCUGAAGACUCUACUUGACUAGCUGAGAGGAGGUGCAUGGCCGUCGUCAGUUCGUACUGUGAAGCAUCCCGUUAAGUCAGGCAACGAGCGAGACCCACGCCAACAGUUGCCAGCUCGUCCUCCGGGAUGGUGGGGACACUGUUGGGACCGCCUCUGCUAAAGAGGAGGAAGGAAUGGGCAACGGUAGGUCAGCAUGCCCCGAAUUAUCUGGGCUGCACGCGGGCUACAAUGGGUGGGACAAUGGGUAUCGACACCGAAAGGUGAAGGCAAUCUCCUAAACCCAUCCGUAGUUCGGAUUGUGGGCUGCAACUCGCCCACAUGAAGCUGGAAUCUGUAGUAAUCGUGUCUCAAAAUGGCACGGUGAAUAUGUCCCUGCUCCUU
rnacentral:rRNA from 1 species